CUGCCCUGUGAAACACUGUGAGGAGCCACCCAUUAUCACAUGGUGCAAACUGAUGGACGUGGAGAACUGCAGAUCACUGACUGAAAAUCCUAAUGUUAGAAUAUGGCAGCAGAUGCCAACCAGGACUGAAGAAAAUCUCAUUACAUCCUAUAUGCAGAUCAAAAACAUAACAAAGAAUGACGCUGGUUUAUAUAGAUGUAGUGCUUCUGACACCACUGCUGGACAUUCAAUCCGUGUUAAUGUCACUGGUGUUGACCAACUGGAAAACACAACCUACAACACAGGUACUACUGAUCCAGACCAGGAGUGGCUCUCUUAUGUGUACAUCUGUGGGGGCAUAGUGACUCUUGUCUUUCUGGUGGUCCUGAUCUCCUUCCUGA
ensembl:lncRNA